rnacentral:rRNA from 1 species
AUUGAACGCUGGCGGCAUGCCUUACCCAUGCAAGUCGAACGGCAGCACGGGUGCUUGCACCUGGUGGCGAGUGGCGAACGGGUGAGUAAUACAUCGGAACGUACCUUAUCGUGGGGGAUAACGCAGCGAAAGCUGUGCUAAUACCGCAUACGCCCUGAGGGGGAAAGCGGGGGAUCGCAAGACCUCGCGCGAUUAGAGCGGCCGAUGCCUGAUUAGCUUGUUGGUGGGGUAAAAGCCCACCAAGGCGACGAUCAGUAGCUGGUCUGAGAGGACGAUCAGCCACACUGGGACUGAGACACGGCCCAGACUCCUACGGGAGGCAGCAGUGGGGAAUUUUGGACAGUGGGGGCAACCCUGAUCCAGCAAUGCCGCGUGAGUGAAGAAGGCCUUCGGGUUGUAAAGCUCUUUUGUCAGGGAAGAAACACCGGCUCUAACACAGUCCGGGAAUGACGGUACCUGAAGAAUAAGCACCGGCUAACUACGUGCCAGCAGCCGCCGUAA